rnacentral:miRNA from 1 species
UUUGCUACUUUCACCAAGAUC